rnacentral:rRNA from 1 species
UACGUGAGGGGGCAAGCGUUGUCCGGAUCAUUGGGCGUAAGCGCGAGCGUGAGCGGCCCUGUAAGUCCGUUGUGAAAGUCGAAGGCUCAAACCUUCGGAAAGCCGCAUGGAUACUGCAGGGCUAGAGUCCGGAAGAGGCGAGUGGAAUUCCUGGUGUAGCGGUGGGAAUGCGCAGAUAUCAGGAGGAACACCAAUAGCGAAGGCAGCUCGCUGGGACGGUACUGACGCUAAGGCGCGAAAGCGUGGGGGAGCGAACAGG